GGCCUUUGUGUUGCCCAUUCAUUCCUGUCCAGAAUGGAUGUGGUGUCAAAAAAGGCAAACAAGAAUUCUUGCUCAAGCUGGUUUAGAGAGCUGGUUAUAUACCUUCCUCCUCUCUGUUUUUGCAAGGACAAAA